CCCUCUGCUCCUCCUCACACCGUAUAGGGGACCAGAGCUGGGAAGAAAUGGGGUGAGCCACACAGCCAAGGCUGUAGGUUGUGUAAGACAUUCCCAAAGCACUGAAGCGAUCAAAUGAUGAAACCGAGACUCAAUAUCAUCUUGCACAUCCUGAAGCUGCAUUUUCUAAAUAUUUUCCAAUAACUGAAAUAACUGGGAAGUAAUGAUUUAAAAAUCGGUGAAACACUACAAGACUAACAAAUGCAACUAAUACUUUAACCACGUCAGAAUCGUGAGAAAGAAAAAACACAGUGUUCAGCUCUGGUGAUGCCCUUAACAGCACACCUGAGGAGCCCAUGCAGAUCCUUAGAUCCACACAGGAAGCAUCCUUACCAUAGCAGUUUCUGCUUUUUCCGACCUAAGAAGAGAUAUAUUAGAAAUAAACGAAGAAGCCACGCCCACACCAGCAGCAGCUCCUCUGUAGUCCGAAGCCAAUUGGCAGCAGAGGAUGCUGGGAGCAAAGGCUCGGGCGCUGCCUUGUGUGCCCUGCCAGCCACCGUACAGCCGCCAUCUGCCGACUGCGAGUCCGGCACGCUCGCGGAAUUGGGGCCUGCCCCUCCUUUCGCUGAAUGGACCCCGUCCCAAAACUGUUCACCACAGAAGGGUAGCGGAGUCCACUUCACAGCCUUCUGUGCAGCUUGAAUUAAACCGCGCGUUUCAGCAGUGCAGCUUAAGUACGUGUGGCGAAGCCCUUCAGCCAGUGUAGCGGUGGAGAGGACACAGGCAGGACAAGCCACGCGUGACAGACGCAGCUGACUUCACUCCAGCCGUGAGCUCUGAGAUCUGAAGAUACCCUUCCCCUGCAUCCUCAUCAUGCACGAAGACAGCUCAGCCGCUUUCAAGAGUCGGUGUGGAAGAAGGAUGCUGCAGAACCACACAAUUGAUCCAAGGUAGAAGACCCGGAGCUCACUGUGAAGUCCUGUGGGAGCCUCAGGCUCUGUCACUGUCACUUGUGUCAGCUGCUUGGAGACAGACAUGCCAGCAUGGAGGUGAGGUCUGGAGCUCCUCUGAAGAAAGCAAAAAAUGAAUCCCUUCUUUCGCCACCUUUUUUUUCAUCCAGGCCACAGGUCUACUGGAUGGUGCCACACACACCAGGGUGGUUACCUAUUACAACCACAGUACUACACACAAGAAAAUGUAACCAAGGAAAUUAACAAAGUGUAAAGAAUAUAAGGUGACAUUAUAUUCAUGCACUGGAAAACACAAAUGCAAUAAAAUCUGAAUAUUCCAUUACUCUACAGACUCAUUAAAGUUCCAGUCUAAAUCUAAGUACAUCCAGUUAGAUCUUGGUGUGUGUAAGUAAUCCAGGGUUCAGUUCUAGCAUAUCCAUGGGACUGAGUGUAAU